CUUCUUUUGUCAUAGACACUGUUCUUUGACACACAAAAACUAGUGAUCCAUUGCUUAUUGUUCAGAGCGUGGAUCUGACAAUACUCAGCUUCAGAAAGCCAUUGUGUCCUCUCUACAAACAUCAGGAGUCAAUGGACAUCUCUGUGGUACAAAGAAACCCAGCUCUGAGCCAAGCACACUUCUGGUCCUUCAUGUUACACCUGGAGCUCCAUCUGUCUGCAGGUCACUUAAGUCAAAUACUGGCUCAUAAUUUGGCAGACCCAAGGACUUCAUGAACUCAAACAGGAUCAGACACCUGGCUGGUGCAUGACACAUGGCCAAAUGCAAAGUCGAUAAGAAAAAACUACACUUGACCUGGAAAAAGAAAGAAAUUGCAUAUUUCAUCCAGAGAACAUUGUCAUUGUCACAAAUAAGUCUUUUGAAUCUGGGGAAAAAAUUGCAAAAUCUCUGGGAAGAAAAUGGCCACUGAAGGGGGGAAAAAAUAUCAGCAAAAGCAAAACCUAAAGGUCUCAAGAAAAAAAUAAGGUUAAUAAAAAACUGAGGAAAACUUA